rnacentral:rRNA from 1 species
GGAGGGGUGCGAGCGUUAAUCGGGAAUUACUGGGGCGUAAAGCGAGUGCAGGCGGCUGCGUCAGUCGGAUGUGAAAGCCCCCGGGGCUUAACCUGGGAAUGGCAUUCGAUACUGCGCAGCUAGAGUCUGGUAGAGGGAAGUGGAAUUCCAGGUGUAGCGGUGAAAUGCGUAGAUAUCUGGAGGAACAUCAGUGGCGAAGGCGGCUUCCUGGACCAAGACUGACGCUCAGGCUCGAAAGCGUGGGUAGCAAACAGGAUUAGAUACCCUGGUAGUCCACGCCCUAAACGAUGUCAACUAGACGUUGGGUUCAUUAAAGAACUUAGUGUCGAAGCUAACGCGUUAAGUUGACCGCCUGGGGAGUACGGCCGCAAGGUUG